rnacentral:tRNA from 1 species
GUGGGUAUAGCUCAGUGGUAGAGUACACACCUACCAAACACGAAGUCCUGGGUUCAAUCCCCAGUCCCUCCA